UCUACGGGAGGCAGCAGUGGGGAAUAUUGCACAAUGGGGGAAACCCUGAUGCAGCGACGCCGCGUGAGUGAAGAAGUAAUUCGUUACGUAAAGCUCUAUCAGCAGGGACGAAAUACUGACCUUACGGUCAGCAGACGGUACCUGAGUAAGAAGCCCCGGCUAACUACGUGCCAGCAGCCGCGGUAAUACGUAGGGGGCAAGCUUUAUCCGGAUUUACUGGGUGUAAAGGGAGCGUAGACGGUGCGCUAAGUCUGGAGUGAAAUGCCGCAGCUUAACUGCGGAACUGCUUUGGAAACUGGCGAACGAGAGUGCGGGAGGGGUAAGCGGAAUUCCUAGGGUAGCGGUGAAAUGCGUAGAUAUUAGGAGGAACACCGGUGGCGAAGGCGGCUUACUGGACUGUAACUGACGUUGAGGCUCGAAGGCGUGGGGAGCAAACAGGAUUAGAUACCCGUGUAGUC
rnacentral:rRNA from 1 species